CUAGCUUAGAAUAAAUCAGCGAUCCGAUAUAUCCUCCCCAAGCACAUAGUAGAGGAUCACCAAAGAAGACAUAUAAAACUAUCUAUGGAAGGAGGGAAAAAGGAAGAGAGGAAGAAAAGAAGAAAGGCAGGCACAGAGUUUGGCACAUAGAAGAAGAGGAAAAGGAUUUCUUACGUCACCAGGCAGUUCAUCCCGGGUAAAGAUGGGCCAGUUUUUCCAGUAAAUACUGGGAUUCCUGAGUCAGUUUCUUAUUAUACAACAAUAUCCAUUGAGAGAUUCUCAUGCAAGGAAUUACAAGGAUUUGGAAAUGAUGCUUCCUUCCCUCUGGAUGCUUUGAAUUUCAUCCACUUUCAAUUUUCAUAUGAUUAUAUGUUGCCAAAGUUACGAUAUGUGACACUCCUGAUGAAUAAAUUAAAAUAUUAAAUGAUACAGA